rnacentral:rRNA from 1 species
GUAGGUGGCAAGCGUUGUCCGGAAUUAUUGGGGCGUAAAGCGCGCGCAGGCGGUUCGUUUAAGUCUGAUGUGAAAGCCCACGGGCUCAACCGUGGAGGGUCAUUGGAAACUGGAGAACUUGAGUACAGAAGAGGAAAGCGGAAUUCCACGUGUAGCGGUGAAAUGCGUAGAGAUGUGGAGGAACACCAGUGGCGAAGGCGGCUUUCUGGUCUGUAACUGACGCUGAGGCGCGAAAGCGUGGGGAGCAAACAGGAUUAGAUACCCUGGUAGUCCACGCCGUAAACGAUGAGUGCUAAGUGUUAGGGGGUUUCCGCCCCUUAGUGCUGCAGCUAACGCAUUAAGCACUCCGCCUCGGGGAGUACGGCCGCAAAGGCUG